rnacentral:rRNA from 1 species
CGAGUGGCGAACGGGUGAGUAACACGUGGGUGAUCUGCCCUGCACUCUGGGAUAAGCCUGGGAAACUGGGUCUAAUACCGGAUAGGACCAUGCUUUAGUGUGUGUGGUGGAAAGUUUUUUCGGUGUAGGAUGAGCUCGCGGCCUAUCAGCUUGUUGGUGGGGUAAUGGCCUACCAAGGCGGCGACGGGUAGCCGGCCUGAGAGGGUGGACGGCCACAUUGGGACUGAGAUACGGCCCAG